CGAGAAGAGGUAGCAAAGUCAAAAGUAACAUUCCCGAUAAAGAUGGAGUUCCAGAAGACGUACACAGAAUCUUUGGAACAAUCCUCUACUGCAAGGCACAGCCAUGGCAUGAGAGUACUGAACCCCUUCCUACAGAAGAGAGUCCAAGUGCACUGAGAGAAAAUGCAGCUUUCUCCUGACAGUAAGCAUUCCAAACUGCCUCACCAGCUCUUGUGAUGUUUUACAAAAAUUAAAUUAAAAGGAACAUAACAAAAAUGCAAGUGUGCCAGGCAAAGUGAGAUUCAAAUAGAAAUGCCUGGAAUUCCCCUCACAAAGCAGUCACCUCUGGGGCCACCUGCAGCCCUGUCCCCAGAGCUCCAGAAACUUCCAUCACUAUGCUUUGUGGUGGGCACUGGCCUGUGACAAAAACCUAUUGUGUCAAAGGGCCAUUAUUUAACAAAAUCUGAGGAGAAAAAUGUCUCUGAGGUAUCCCAG
rnacentral:lncRNA from 1 species